rnacentral:tRNA from 1 species
GGUCGGUUAGCUCAGUUGGUUAGAGCGUGGUACUAAUACGACAUCCGUCGUGUUGAGUAAUGCCAAGGCCGGGAGUUCAAGCCUCCCACUGAUCA